rnacentral:rRNA from 1 species
UGAGUAACCUGCCCUCAGCUUUGGGAUAACCCUCGGAAACGGGGGUCUAAUACCGGGUAUUCAUCUUUGGCGGCAUCGUCGGGGGUGGAAAGUUUUUCGGCUGGGGAUGGGCUCGCGGCCUAUCAGCUUGUUGGUGGGGUAAUGGCCUACCAAGGCUUCGACGGGUAGCCGGCCUGAGAGGGCGACCGGCCACACUGGGACUGAGACACGGCCCAGACUCCUACGGGAGGCA